rnacentral:snoRNA from 1 species
AUCCCAUGAUAUGGACAUCUUCUCAGUAGUUCUUUAAAACUCUCCAAAGCUUCAUAUAAGGACUCAUCUUUAAAUUGUGUGAAUGCGGUGAUAUCAUUCCUCAUUUU